rnacentral:piRNA from 1 species
UCCAUGUGUACUCAUUGGUUGG